UUUUUAAGAUAUAAUAAAUUAAAAUUUAGGCCGGUGACGUCACCACCCCCCUAUUAGAGAGCUGCGGAAGUGAACAAGUCAGCAGCAAAGCAAAGGAGUCUCGUCUAAGUUAGUUUGAGUCACCUAUGCAUGUCAGUGGAUGUUUCAAGUGUGUAACUGAUGACAUACCAACUUCAAGAUCCUUGUAUCUACUACCUGUAUACCUUAGCCCUCCAAUAAAGCUGCACUCUGCACUGUCUUCACUACCUUUGCCAGAUCAUCAUAAAGUUCCCACAUACAUGGAGCUCUUCGGCAGUAGGCAGUGUAAUGUCCAAGACCGUGUUUGGUUGAGCUGGCCUUGAAAGCGAUCACUCCUUUUAAGGUCAGUGUCUUUCCUUGGAGAGCCACAACAGAGGGAAAUUCACACAAAGGAAAUUCAGUUGUGUUUGCAAGCUGGACACUCUGAUUCAUCCUCCAGUGGGCGUAGGCAGGGAGACUCUGGUAAAGAGAGCCCGUUUUCUACUGCAAUGUCAAGAUGUUGCACUGGGCAUCGAUUUGGUAGGCGCCAGACCUCAACUGGACUUUCUCAAACAUUGUACAAAGUAGCUGUGCUCUCUCCGAAUAUAUCCUUUGGGUCACACCCUCUGUAACAAUGGCUUUAACCAGCUGCAAGAUGGGGUUGUCACCGUCAUUCCUGACAACAUUCUGAAAUCCUGUGCUGUCACAGAAACCACAACAUAAGCACUGACAGAAAGCAUCAAAUGCACAUGUGUUCAGCACAGAGAUUGCUGACUUCCCAACUCUAAUUGGGGGAAGAAUUUGUCCCUUCCAGUUUUCCACCACAUCUUCAUCUGCUGGAGGAAUGUCUGUGGUUUUGUCGGAUUCCUCAGAGUGAACAAAUCCUCAUAUUUCCUUCUAUGAAGGAAAGAUGACGGGAAAUGAAGCGAUCAACUCGAAUAGGCAAGUUGUCGUGUUUAAAAAGUCCAUGUUUUAUAUUUUUGAACUCUGCUUCAACAGUGGCUGAGCUUGCUGUGAGGCUGGUGCUUUUGAAGAGGGGGACCAUAACUCCUGUCCAAAGUGUCUCUUAGGUCAGUCUGGAUCUCAUCAAAAGGAUCCCCUUGAUGCAUUUCCUCUGUGUCUUCAGCUGGAAUGUUGAAAGAGUCUUCUGUGAUCUGUGCUUUCAGGGUCGCCAAAUUUGGGAGGUGACUUGGUUCAGGAUCUCCAAUAUCCAUCAAUUCCGAUGCCUUCGCUGACCUCCAUACAGCCGGCUCCAUCCUGCCCUCACACAGCUCUUUUGAAAUCUGUGCACGAAGCUUUCCAGACAUGAACCUCUUGGAACGACCAGUGUGCAGGGAGAUAUCAGUGUCUUCGAUGGAACACUCCAGAAUCAUUGGGCUGUUGACUAUUGGUUCUCUGGCACAUGUCAUUUUAACGUGGCCCUGACACUCUUUACAGAAGCCCUUGAUAUCGAUGUAAUUGUUUGUGACAGUUGGAUAAACCUUUGCUCUCUGGAACACAAAUGUACAUGUACUUUUAAUUUUUUCCCAUAUCAGAUGGUUAAUUACAUGACUCCAAGUGCCUGGUUUCAAAAUCAUAUAUUCCCUUUUGCCAGAUGAUGAAAAUUUGUCAUUAUAUUGUACUUU